ACAUCCAGAGAACUUGGCAGAGAUGCCUUGGUGCCUUCGGGACCUCUGAGACAGGUGCUGCAUGGCUGUCGUCAGCUCGUGUUGUGAAAUGUUGGUUAAGUCCCGCAACGAGCGCAACCCCUAUCCUUUGUUGCCAGCGAUUCGGUCGGGAACUCAAAGGAGACUGCCGGUGAUAAACCGGAGGAAGGUGGGGAUGACGUCAAGUCAUCAUGGCCCUUACGAGUAGGGCUACACACGUGCUACAAUGGCGCAUACAAAGAGAAGCGACCUCGCGAGAGCAAGCGGACCUCAUAAAGUGCGUCGUAGUCCGGAUCGGAGUCUGCAACUCGACUCCGUGAAGUCGGAAUCGCUAGUAAUCGUAGAUCAGAAUGCUACGGUGAAUACGUUCCCGGGCCUUGUACACACCGCCCGUCACACCAUGGGAGUGGGUUGCAAAAGAAGUAGAUAGCUUAACCUUCGGGAGGGCGUUUACCACUUUGUGAUUCAUGACUGGGGUGAAGUCGUAACAAGGUAAGCGUAGCGAG
rnacentral:rRNA from 1 species